GAUGAACGCUGACAGCAUGCUUAACACAUGCAAGUCGAUGGGGAAGUGGUGCUUGCCCCAUGGCAACCAUGGCGGACGGGUGAGUAACGCGUAAGGGACUUACCUGCAGGACUGGGAUAACAGGGGGAAACUCCUGACAAGACCGGAUAAUGUCAUGGAGCUGCAUGGCUUUAUGAUGAAAGGAGACGCCUGCGGAGAGCCUUGCGUCCUAUUAGCUAGUUGGUGAGGUAAUGGCUCACCAAGGCGAAGAUAGGUAGCCGGCCUGAGAGGGUGGACGGCCACAAGGGGACUGAGAUACGGCACUUACUCCUACGGGGGGCAGCAGUGGGGAAUAGUGGACAAUGGGGGCAACCCUGAUCCAGCAAUUCUGUGUGCACGAAGAAGGUUUUCGGAGUGUAAAGUGCUUUCAGCAGGGAAGAAGUAAGUGACGGUACCUGCAGAAGAAGCGACGGCUAAAUACGUG
rnacentral:rRNA from 1 species